AUUGAACGCUGGCGGCAUGCCUUACACAUGCAAGUCGAACGGCAGCACGGGUGCUUGCACCUGGUGGCGAGUGGCGAACGGGUGAGUAAUACAUCGGAACAUGUCCUGUAGUGGGGGAUAGCCCGGCGAAAGCCGGAUUAAUACCGCAUACGAUCUACGGAUGAAAGCGGGGGACCUUCGGGCCUCGCGCUAUAGGGUUGGCCGAUGGCUGAUUAGCUAGUUGGUGGGGUAAAGGCCUACCAAGGCGACGAUCAGUAGCUGGUCUGAGAGGACGACCAGCCACACUGGGACUGAGACACGGCCCAGACUCCUACGGGAGGCAGCAGUGAGGAAUUUUGGACAAUGGGCGAAAGCCUGAUCCAGCAAUGCCGCGUGUGUGAAGAAGGCCUUCGGGUUGUAAAGCACUUUUGUCCGGAAAGAAAUCCUUGGCCCUAAUACGGUCGGGGGAUGACGGUACCGGAAGAAUAAGCACCGGCUAACUACGUG
rnacentral:rRNA from 1 species